GCAUAUCAAUAAGCGGAGGAAAAGAAACCAACAGGGAUUGCCUCAGUAACGGCGAGUGAAGCGGCAACAGCUCAAAUUUGAAAUCUGGCCCUAGGCCCGAGUUGUAAUUUGCAGAGGAUGUUUCUGGCGAGGUGCCUUCCGAGUUCCCUGGAACGGGACGCCAUAGAGGGUGAGAGCCCCGUACGGUUGGUCGCUAAGCCUCUGUGAAACUCCUUCGACGAGUCGAGUAGUUUGGGAAUGCUGCUCUAAAUGGGAGGUAUACGUCUUCUAAAGCUAAAUACCGGCCAGAGACCGAUAGCGCACAAGUAGAGUGAUCGAAAGAUGAAAAGCACUUUGAAAAGAGGGUUAAAUAGUACGUGAAAUUGUUGAAAGGGAAGCGCUUAUGACCAGACUUGGACCGGUUGAUCAUCCAUCGUUCUCGGUGGUGCACUCUGCCGGUUCAGGCCAGCAUCAGUUCGUCCCGGGGGAUAAAGGCUUUGGGAAUGUGGCUCUUCGGAGUGUUAUAGCCCACUGCGUAAUACCCUGGGAUGGACUGAGGUUCGCGCUCCGCAAGGAUGCUGGCGUAAUGGUCAUCAGUGACCCGUCUUGAAACACGGACCAAGGAGUCGUCUUCGUAUGCGAGUGUUCGGGUGUCAAACCCCUACGCGUAAUGAAAGUGAACGUAGGAGAGAGCUUCGGCGCAUCUCCGACCGAUCCUGAUGUUCUCGGAUGGAUUUGAGUAAGAGCAUACGGGGCCGGACCCGAAAGAAGGUGAACUAUGCUUGUAUAGGGUGAAGCCAGAGGAAACUCUGGUGGAGGCUCGCAGCGGUUCUGACGUGCAAAUCGAUCGUCAAAUAUGAGCAUGGAGCGAAAGACUAAUCGA
rnacentral:rRNA from 1 species